UACGGAGGAUGCAAGCGUUAUCCGGAAUUAUUGGGAGUAAAGCGUCCGUAGGUGGCAUUUCAAGUCUGCCGUUAAAGCCCAAAGCUUAACUUUGGAACAGCGGUGGAAACUGAGAAGCUAGAGUACGGUAGGGGUAGAGGGAAUUCCCAGUGUAGCGGUGAAAUGCGUAGAGAUUGGGAAGAACACCGGUGGCGAAAGCGCUCUACUGGGCCGCAACUGACACUGAUGGACGAAAGCUAGGGGAGCGAAAGGG
rnacentral:rRNA from 1 species